AUUGAACGCUGGCGGCAGGCCUAAUACAUGCAAGUCGAGCGGAGCGGCGGACGGGUGAGUAAUGACUACGAAUCUGCCCGGUCGUGGGGGCUAACGUACGGACACGGGCCCUAAUACCGUAUAGUAUCUGCUGAGACUAGGUCGGAUGAGCUAGUUGGUGGGGUAAAGGCCUACCAAGGCGACGAUCCAUAACUGGUCUGAGAGGAUGAUCAGUCACACUGGAACUGAGACACGGUCCAGACUCCUACGGGAGGCAGCAGUGGGGAAUAUUGCACAAUGGGCGAAAGCCUGAUCCAGCCAUGCCGCGUGUGUGAAGAAGGUCUUCGGAUUGUAAAGCACUUUAAGUUGGGAGGCGUUACCAACAGAAUAAGCACCGGCUAACUUCGUGCCAGCAGCCGCGGUAAUUC
rnacentral:rRNA from 1 species